GGAAACUACAAGCGCAAGCUCCAAACCCCAAGACUUGGCGGUGCUUUAGAUCCAUCUAGAGGAGCCCGUCCUAUAACCGUCAACACUCGUUAAACCUCAUCUUCUUUACUUAAGUUUAUAUACCACCGUCGUCAGCUUACCUUUAGAAAGACCUUAAAGUUAGCAACAUUGGUUUAGCCCCAGAUGUCAGGUCGAGGUGCAGCCCAUAAGAAGAGAAAGGAUGGGCUACAUUUCCCACCUAAGGAAAACAGAAAAUGCUUUGAAAUAAGCAUCUUGAAGUUGGAUUUAGCAGUAAGUGAAAAAUAGAGUGUUUC
rnacentral:rRNA from 1 species